UACGUAGGAUCCAAGCGUUAUCCGGAAUCAUUGGGUUUAAAGGGUCCGUAGGCGGUUUUGCAAGUCAGUGGUGAAAGCCCAUCGCUCAACGGUGGAACGGCCAUUGAUACUGCAAGACUUGAAUUAUUAGGAAGUAACUAGAAUAUGUAGUGUAGCGGUGAAAUGCUUAGAGAUUACAUGGAAUACCAAUUGCGAAGGCAGGUUACUACUAAUUGAUUGACGCUGAUGGACGAAAGCGUGGGGAGCGAACAGG
rnacentral:rRNA from 1 species